CUAACUCCGAGGCAGCAGGGGUGGGAAUAGUGGGGAUCCAAGUGUGAUCCGGAAUCAUUGGGUUUAAAGGGGCCGUAGGCGGGCUUAUAAGUAAGCGGGGAAAGUUUUUGGCUUAACCAAAAAAUUGCCAUUGAUACUGUAGGGCUUGAAUUAUUGUGAAGUAACUAGAAUAUGUAGUGUAGCGGUGAAAUGCUUAGAUAUUACAUGGAAUACCAAUUGCGAAGGCAGGUUACUAACAAUGGAUUGACGCUGAUGGACGAAAGCGUGGGUAGCGAACAGGAUUAGAUACCCCGAGUAGUC
rnacentral:rRNA from 1 species